UACGUAGGGGGCUAGCGUUGUCCGGAAUCAUUGGGCGUAAAGCGCGUGUAGGCGGUUCGGUAAGUCCGCUGUGAAAGUCGGGGGCUCAACCCUCGAAUGCCGGUGGAUACUGUCGGACUUAGAGUACGGAAGAGGCGAGUGGAAUUCCUGGUGUAGCGGUGAAAUGCGCAGAUAUCAGGAGGAACACCAAUUGCGAAGGCAGCUCGCUGGGACGUUACUGACGCUGAGACGCGAAAGCGUGGGGAGCAA
rnacentral:rRNA from 1 species